rnacentral:rRNA from 1 species
UUCCUUCGGGCUAUUUACAAGGUGCUGCAUGGUUGUCGUCAGCUCGUGCCGUGAGGUGUCGGGUUAAGUCCCAUAACGAGCGCAACCCUUACCGUUAGUUGCCAUCGGGUCAAGCCGGGACUCUAGCGGGACUGCCACCGUAAGGUGAGAGGAAGGUGGGGAUGACGUCAAAUCAGCACGGCCCUUAUGUCCAGGGCUACACACGUGUUACAAUGGCCGGUACAGAGGGCAGCUACCUGGUGACAGGAUGCUAAUCCCGAAAGCCGGUCCCAGUUCGGAUUGGAGUCUGCAACCCGACUCCAUGAAGUUGGAUUCGCUAGUAAUCGCGCAUCAGCCAUGGCGCGGUGAAUACGUUCCCGGGCCUU